AACGAACGCUGGCGGCAGGCUUAACACAUGCAAGUCGAACGCACCUUCGGGUGAGUCGCGCACGGGUGAGUAACACGCGGGAACGUACCCUUCAGUUCGGAAUAACAUUGGGAAACUGGUGCUAAUACCGGAUGAGCCCUACGGGGGAAAGAUUUGUCGCUGAAGGAGCGGCCCGCGCCUGAUUGGGUAGUUGGUGGGGUAAGGGCCUACCAAGCCGACGCUCAGUAGCUGGUCUGAGAGGAUGAUCAGCCACACUGGGACUGAGACACGGCCCAGACUCCUACGGGAGGCAGCAGUGGGGAAUAUUGGACAAUGGGCGGAAGCCUGAUCCAGCCAUGCCGCGUGAGUGAUGAAGGCCUUCGGGUUGUAAAGCUCUUUCUCCGGUGAAGAUAAUGACGGUAACCGGAGAAGAAGCCCCGGCUAACUUCGUGCCAGCCGCCGCCGUAA
rnacentral:rRNA from 1 species